UCCUACGGGAGGCAGCAGUGGGGAAUAUUGCACAAUGGGCGCAAGCCUGAUGCAGCGACGCCGCGUGAGGGAUGACGGCCUUCGGGUUGUAAACCUCUUUCACCAGGGACGAAGCGCAAGUGACGGUACCUGGAGAAGAAGCACCGGCCAACUACGUGCCAGCAGCCGCGGUAAUACGUAGGGUGCGAGCGUUGUCCGGAAUUACUGGGCGUAAAGAGCUCGUAGGCGGUUUGUCGCGUCGUCUGUGAAAUUCUGCAACUCAAUUGUAGGCGUGCAGGCGAUACGGGCAGACUUGAGUACUACAGGGGAGACUGGAAUUCCUGGUGUAGCGGUGAAAUGCGCAGAUAUCAGGAGGAACACCGGUGGCGAUAAAAAAAACACAAAGGGCAAGGGACGCCGAGGAGCGAAAAAAAAGGGAGAGAACAGGAGGAGGGACCCCGGGAGGACACCCAGGGGAGGCCCCCCCCCCGGGGGGGGGGGGGGAAACCCCCCCUCAUGG
rnacentral:rRNA from 1 species